rnacentral:rRNA from 1 species
UACGUAGGGGGCAAGCGUUGUCCGGAUUUAUUGGGCGUAAAGAGCGUGUAGGCGGCCUGACAGGUCUGCUGUGAAAACUCGAGGCUCAACCUCGAGAUGUCGGCGGAAACCGUCUGGCUAGAGUCCGGAAGAGGAGAGUGGAAUUCCUGGUGUAGCGGUGAAAUGCGCAGAUAUCAGGAAGAACACCAGUGGCAAGGCGCUCUCUGGUACGGUACUGACGCUGAGACGCGAAAGCGUGGGGAGCGAACAGGAUUAGAACCUACGAGUCA